UUAUAGGGAGGAAUUUGAAUGAGACACGGAACACAGAACCGUAGCGUACACUUAGUACGUGAGGAUUUGAGUACCGGAUCGACGUACAAAUUACCCCUAGAAGUAGGGUUUUCGAAUAGGUCUAAUGUAGUAUCAACUCACAAAGUUAUCAGGUUUAUAUACAGCUUUAUCAACUAAUAAAGAUGUUGUUGCAUGACUAAUGUCAUAUCAUGGCUUGACCACGGUAUCCAGUAAAAAUUAUUUUGCUGAGUAUCGUAGUAAAAGUUAGGAU
rnacentral:misc_RNA from 1 species